UCUAAUGUAACAGAGUUAUAUAGAGCCUUUUUGAGGGUUGGGAGAAAACUAUGAUUCACAUUCCCACCAAAAUGCACUGUCAGACAGAUACAAUAGAUUCCAGGAUUCUGGAAACUCACUCAGGGUUCCUUCGAACCCUAGAUUAAAAACUUUUUUCUUUUUUUUCCUGUGCUGUGGUUGGAACCCAGGGUUUCACACACGCUAGGCUCCUGCCCCAGGAUAUGGCCAAGGUCCAUUCUGUCUGGUGCUGAAGUACGUGUGCUUGACUAUCACCCCCAACAGGACAUGGAGUGUGGCCUGUAUCUGAUGAUCUGAGCAGCUACUUUGAAGACAAC